rnacentral:rRNA from 1 species
ACCCUUAGACGUUCUGGGCCGCACGCGCGCUACACUGACGAAGGCAACGAGCUUUCCUUUACCGAAAGGUACGGGUAAUCUUUUGAAACUUCGUCGUGCUGGGGAUAGAUCCUUGCAAUUUUUGAUCUUAAACGAGGAAUGCCUAGUAAGCGCAAGUCAUCAACUUGCGUUGAUUACGUCCCUGCCCUUUGUACACACCGCCCGUCGCUACUACCGAUUGAAUGGUUUAGUGAGGCCUUCGGAUCCGCGACUCGUUUGUGGAGAAGUUGGACAAACUCAGUUAUUUAGAGGAAGUAAAAGUCGUAACA